rnacentral:rRNA from 1 species
AACGAACGCUGGCGGCAUGCCUAACACAUGCAAGUCGAACGAUCCCUUCGGGGAUAGUGGCGCACGGGUGCGUAACGCGUGGGAACCUGCCCUUAGGUUCGGAAUAACUCAGAGAAAUUUGAGCUAAUACCGGAUAAUGUCUUCGGACCAAAGAUUUAUCGCCUUUGGAUGGGCCCGCGUUGGAUUAGCUAGUUGGUGGGGUAAAGGCCUACCAAGGCGACGAUCCAUAGCUGGUCUGAGAGGAUGAUCAGCCACACUGGGACUGAGACACGGCCCAGACUCCUACGGGAGGCAGCAGUGGGGAAUAUUGGACAAUGGGCGAUAGCCUGAUCCAGCAAUGCCGCGUGAGUGAUGAAGGCCUUAGGGUUGUAAAGCUCUUUUACCCGGGAUGAUAAUGACAGUACCGGGAGAAUAAGCCCCGGCUAACUCCGUG